UCGCCGCCGUGGCCGGUGCUGCAGUGGGAGAUGAGGGUGAGGUCCCAGAAGAGGACACAGCGCUGAUCCACGCAUCAGCGAUGGCCCCGAUGGCCUUGGGCAGCUGGGUCUCAGGACAGCAGAGCUCAGGACUCUCGGGGGUUGACAUGGAGGGAGGGGUCCCCUCAGGGUACGAGCCAGCUCAGGCUGGUGGAGGCUGGCUGUAGGGACACGCAGAUUGCGAGGCAGAGAAACCUCAGCUUUGUUGGAGGCAGCAGCUUCUCCCAGCGACGGGACCCGGGAAGAGAACAUGCCCGGCUAAGGGAACCGGGCGAACCUGGCCAGGCCGUGCUGUCGGCGCGUCCGGCUGACAGCUCUCUCUUCUCGAACCUUCUCUGCCUGCCUCUCUGCUCUUAAAGCACCUGGCUUUUUGCGCCCUCACGGGCCCAGACCGACAAGCCCAGGAGGCCCUGCUCGCCUGUGCUCCUCACCAACCUUCCAGAAACAGGAAAGGCCCUCCGAGCCGCCAGCCCAGCCCGUAGAACAAGCCGUUCCCAGUCCCAGGUGGAGUUUCUGGCCUGACCCACACGCAGACGCCGCACAUGGCCCAUUCCCGAACACGGAGUCAUCUGCAUGGCAGACGGAGGAACCGUGUUCACGUGAACGCAAUGUGAGGUCUGGGCUUUUCUGGGCAUGUCCAGUGGCUUAUGUACUUUGAUCAGACCUUCCUUGGAAGAAAGGGCGGCUCAGAUUCAGCGGAGGAGACGCGCCUGUUGGACUUGCUGCGGCCAGCGCCCCCCACCCUGCACCCCGCCCCGCUCAGCUCGCGGCAGGACUUGGGGGCCACCCCCUUUAAAUGUCUUAAGCAGUCACCACAGUGUCAGCCGCAGCAUCGGCGACCUGAAC
ensembl:lncRNA